GAGGAAUAUUGCCCAAUGGGCGCAAGCCUGAGGCAGCGACGCCGCGUGGGUGAUGAAGGCCUUCGGGUCGUAAAGCCCUUUUCUGUGUGACGAGCAAAGGACGGUAGCACAGGAAAAAGUCUCGGCUAACUACGUGCCAGCAGCCGCGGUAAAACGUAGGAGGCAAGCGUUAUCCGGAGUUACUGGGCGUAAAGCGUGCGUAGGCGGAUGGGUAAGUGCGUGGUGAAAGCGCCCGGCUAAACCGGGCGAGGACCAUGCAGACUGCUCGUCUAGAGGCGGAUAGAGGGGUGCGGAAUUCCGGGUGUAGCGGUGAAAUGUGUAGAGAUCCGGAGGAACACCAGUGGUGCAAACGGCGCCCUGGGUCCGAACUGACGCUGAGGCACGAAAGCGUGGGGAGCGAA
rnacentral:rRNA from 1 species